rnacentral:lncRNA from 1 species
CGAGAUACUUAAAACUAUCCCUCUUACAAAUAAUAGAUUAAUUACUUUUAGAUAUUUGAAGUUGUUAACUAUUAUAAUUUAGAGAUAACACAUAAAAAUGACCCUAAACUUGACACGAAAUUAUAACUUUGACCUUAAACUUUAAUAGUGCACAAAUAUGACCUUUAACUAUUCAAAACUGCACAUAUAUGACCUCUGAUCCUACGUGACAAAAUAUGUGUUCAACACACAAAACUGGGUGCGUCCAGCUUAAAAUCUAAGGGCAUAAUAUAUAAAUAUAAACCUAAACUUGACACUAAAUUAUAACUUUGACCUUAAACUUUGACAGUGCACAAAUAUGAUCUUUACCUAUUCAAAAUUGCACAAAUAUGACCUUUAAAUAACUUUUCACUAUUAUUUUUUCAUUAUGUUCGGCUCAAAGAUGAAAAUGGCAUCUAAUUUCUUUUGUCAUUGUGGAAAAAGAGCAAUAUUGAAGAUUUAUUUAUUAGGUGAGUCAACCUUAUACAAAAAAAUUGUGCAGGUAUGUAUAUAUAUUAUAAAGUAGAGGGAGAAUUUAAGUAAUAUAAUAUAUCUAAAUAUAAUUUAUUUAAAUAUUAAAUUAAAUAUGAAACUAUACUAAUAAUAAAAAAAAAUAGUUUUAAUAAAACGUUAUUAAAUUAACAUUAGUAAGGACAGUAGUAGUAUAUUAAAUUAGCUCUAUCAAAUUAACGUUAAUAAAAUGUUAAUAAAUUAAUGUUGGGGUGGACCUACGUGGUUGCCAUGGGGUUCACCCGAACCCCCUUGGUAAAAAAAUUAUGUUGUAUAUAUAAAGUAGAAAAUCUAUAUUUAUGUACGUAUAUUAAUGUUGAACCAUAUAAAACAAGGCACUUAGAUAGCCCAGUGGUGUUAUUUUCUUUUCUUGGGCGUAGGUUCGAUCCUUGCUAGUGGCUUUUUUUUAAUAAAAAAAAAUUAGGUGUUGCUGCUAUAGAAAUAAAUUAAAAUAAUAAUAAUAAUAAUAAUAAUAAUAAUUGUUUUGCGGAGAAAUUUGACUUUUGAGAGUCGCCCCUUAAUUUUGAAAAAAGGAAUUAAGAAAUCUUUAGAGAGUUACUUAAAAUGAUUCAAAACAGGAAAAUCAUUUAAGUUUUGAUGAUUCUGAGUAGGUGGUUCUUAUUAACGUUUUAGGAAGGUGUUAGGCACCUAAAACGUCCGCUAACUUGCGGUUAUCCAGAUUGUUUGAAAAUCGUCUUUUGAUUAACUUCGAAAAGGUUAAUUUUUCUCGAAAAGUGACUGAUUUUUUAUUUUUUGAAAGUAGCGAUUUUGAAAAUAUUUUGGUGUUUAUGCAAAACUAGUUUUCCAGCGACUAAACUAAGGAUUUAACUACGUUCAGAAAGCACAUAACAAAUAAAAAAAUAAAAACAUAAGGAAUAGGGGGAAGGGGAGGAAGCAAAAGAUUUAGGCCAUUGGCCCAAACCAACAAAACCUGUUCUAGUCUAGUUUUCUGAGCCUUUAGCUCGAGUCUUGCCCCACCUGUAUUAAAUUUACAACUUUGGCUUCAAAGCCCCCAAAUAAAUGAAUGAAUAAAUAAUGAAAUAAAAUAAAUAAAGACAACAAUAAUUAAGUAAAAUAACAAAUAAGACUUUUGAGUCUCUUAGCCGCUUCAAAGAUGGAUUUUAACCUAUUUCUUCCUCUUUCGUCCUCUUCUUUUGUGUCCAUAUGUAAGGUGACUGUCCUUUUUGGGGCUUCGAAAUUGACUCGAGAAGGAUGGGCCUUAGUGGCCCAUAUCGAUAAUGCAAAAGCGGGAAGAGUUUAUUUAAGACUCAAAUUUAUCCACAUGCAAAGCAAAGAAAAAGGAAAUUAAUCCAUGUGAAAUGAAGAUAAAUACGAAAGCAAAUUGAAGGAACUACCACUAAUGUUACACUGUAUAAGAUACAAUAUUAAUGUUAAACAAAUAUUGAUGCUAAGCAAAAUGUAACGAAGUAAAUGCACAAAAAAUAUUUUUGAUGCUAAACGAAAUACAGAAAUAAGUGCAGAAGGACUACUAUUAAUGUAAAACAAGAUACAGGAGAUGAAUCAAUAAAUCCAAAAUAAGGAAAAUUUGAAUAAAUAAAUAUAAAAAAAGACGAUCCGCUUGUAGGCAUGCAUACUUUCUGAAAUAAGAUGAUCUUACACUAUUUGCUAGCAUAUUGUGAGACAAAAUCCUAGGCAAAGCUUUUCACAUUUAGCAGAUUAAUCAUUCUUCGCCAUGCUUUAAGUGAAUCCGUUGGACGGGAUGGUAGAUUACUAUUAACAUUUAAACUAGAUGCUAAAGGGUCCAGGUGGGGAAACUUUAGCAAGGAAACGUUUAAACAAAAGUAUCAAAAGAAGCACAUUUAUAUAGCAACUCAAAGGAAGAAGCAAUUAUUCCAAUAAUUGAAUAUCUCACCUCCCGUGGAAAAUGUAUAGCCAAAAGUAGAUUAAAGGUCAAGGGAAAUCCCGAAAGGUGAGAUGAAUUCCAAUGAUACCCUUUGGAAUCUGAGAGGUAACAAAGACUAAAUCAACAUAAUGUUGGAAGAUGCCUUUGCACAUUUUCCACUUAGCUACAGAAAUCUCAACACAAAGAAAAUAGACAGCAAGCAAAAUCGCGGUAAACUCUAGGGAACUAUACUCAAAUAAAAAGAAAAAGCUAAUUGAUGCUAUUUGGCAUACUUGAAUAUAAUGGCAUGAAAGAAAAUAAUUCACUCUAUAUCAUAAGGACAAAUAAACAGAUUCAAUGAUAAAGGAAAAACUUUCCAAAUGAGCAAAUAUUUUUCAAAGCUCAAUCCAGGGGUACAAUCGAAAUAACACAUGGGUUCACGCCAUAAAUUCCUUGGGUUAUUAAGAGUCAAAGCUAUUUUACUAUAUUGAUUUUAACGAGUCAUAAUCAGUAUCAAAAAUCUUAGAGGGGAGAAAUAUAAGGGGCGAUGCAGACAAUAAAUAGAAAAAAAAGGAAAAGAACAACAACUAGUAAAUAAACCUUCUGUCAAAUCCGGAUUCAGCAUGAACUUGUUUGAGUGCCAAACACAGCCGGUUCUAAAUUAUAGUAUAUAACUACUUAUCCCAAGGAAUGAUCAUGGAUACAAAAAAAUAUUUCAACCGAGCAAAUUAUGCAUCUCAAGACAGAAAAAGAAGACCUAAGACAAUACGGAUAGCAAUACAGGCUUAGCAAACAUAAGAAAGGUUCAAGUAGGGACUCUUGGAUGGUGACAACACUGAACCAAAUAGCACAUGAAAAGAAACCAACAUAGCCUAAAAGGAAACCAAAAACUGAUUUAUAACGAGAUGAUAUUCAACGACCCCUGAAAAACAACAUGAACCGAAACGCAAAGAAGAAGAACCGUCAACAUAUUCAUCAUAGAGUCCUAUGGAUUGUCAAAUAUCCCAACAGAAAUCAGUUCCCAGCAAACAACGACAGUAUUAUAAUGAAAUAUUGAAGAAAGAGAUGAAGAAGAAGAAAACAACGACAAAAGUUAAAAGCGGAAAGAGGUGUUUACCUUUUUUGGAGCAGCAAAACAGAACUACGAGUUGACGUCGAAUUUCACCACCACCGGAGAAGCGUCGUAGUCAGCUUCGGAACUUCGGUUACGCAGACCAAUAUUCGGAAACAAAAUUUCCACUAAAAACAAAGAUUGAAUCUUUGCUUAUAAGUUUUUCCCUUCUUCUUUUCUCUCUCAAU